UGAGGAAUAUUGGUCAAUGGUCGGAAGACUGAACCAGCCAAGUAGCGUGAAGGAUGACUGCCCUACGGGUUGUAAACUUCUUUUAUGCGGGAAUAAAGUGCCCCACGCGUGGGGUAUUGCAUGUACCGCGUGAAUAAGCAUCGGCUAAUUCCGUGCCAGCAGCCGCGGUAAUACGGAAGAUGCGAGCGUUAUCCGGAUUUAUUGGGUUUAAAGGGAGCGUAGGCGGAGGCUUAAGUCAGUGGUCAAAUCGUGUGGCUCAACCAUGCGUCGCCGUUGAUACUGGGUCUCUUGAGUGCACAUAAGGAUGGUGGAAUUCGUCGUGUAGCGGUGAAAUGCUUAGAUAUGACGAAGAACUCCGAUUGCGAAGGCAGCUGUCCGGGGUGUAACUGACGCUAAUGCUCGAAAGUGCGGGUAUCAAACAGG
rnacentral:rRNA from 1 species